rnacentral:rRNA from 1 species
GGGAGUAUUGGACAACGGGGGAAACCCUGAUCCAGCAAUGCCGCGUGAGUGAAGAAGGCCUUAGGGUUGUAAAGCUCUUUCGCCCGCGAAGAUGAUGACGGUAGCGGGAGAAGAAGCCCCGGCUAACUCCGUGCCAGCAGCCGCGGUAAUACGGAGGGGGCUAGCGUUGUUCGGAAUUACUGGGCGUAAAGCGUACGUAGGCGGAUGCGCAAGUUGGGGGUGAAAUCCCGGGGCUUAACCUCGGAAUUGCCCUCAAAACUGCACGUCUUGAGACCGAGAGAGGUAAGGGGAAUUCCUAGUGUAGAGGUGAAAUUCGUAGAUAUUAGGAAGAACACCAGUGGCGAAGGCGCCUUACUGGCUCGGUACUGACGCUGAGGUACGAAAGCGUGGGGAGCAAACA